GACGAACGCUGGCGGCGUGCUUAACACAUGCAAGUCGAACGGAAAGGCCCUGCUUUUGUGGGGUGCUCGAGUGGCGAACGGGUGAGUAACACGUGAGUAACCUGCCCUUGACUUUGGGAUAACUUCAGGAAACUGGGGCUAAUACCGGAUAGGAGAUCCUGCUGCAUGGUGGGGGUUGGAAAGUUUCGGCGGUUGGGGCUGGACUCGCGGCUUAUCCGCUUGUUGGUGGGGUAGGGGCUUACCAAGGCUUUGACGGGUAGCCGGCCUGAGAGGGUGACCGGCCUCAUUGGGACUGCGAUACGGCCCAGACUGCUACGGGAGGCAGCGGUGGGGAAUAUUACACAGUGGGCGGACGCCUGAUGCAGCAACGUCGCGUGCGGGAUGACGUCCUUCGGGUUGUAAACCGCUUUCGCCUGUGACGAAGCGUGAGUGACGGUAAUGGGUAAAGAAGCACCGGCUAACUACGUG
rnacentral:rRNA from 1 species